AAAUAGGAAAUGAAGAUGUAGUG
rnacentral:piRNA from 1 species